UUUUGUACCAUUGGGACUGGUGAGAGCUUCAACGCUCAAAACCCAUUCCACAUUUGUUGGAAUUUGUUUCCAAACAAGAGAUAGGGCUCGACGCUUCUGACACAAGACAGAUGAUACUCUAUGACACAUAUCGUGGUGUCUUGUCAUAUUUGUGCUUGGUCUGAAUAGAACACUACGAUUUCUUUCAAUAGUUUUGCAUACUACGAUCUUCACUUGCUCGUUUUGUAGUCUUUAUGCUUCCGAGAGCACACUACGAUCUCAGAGUUAGCUUCGGCAAAUGUCUGGACCACUCUACGAUCACUGGAGAGGCCCUUCAAGGCAAAUAUACAAUGAUCAUCUCAGCACUACGAUUCUGCCUUAGCUUCUGCAUUUUGUUGAUCAGCCGGAUAAACUACGAUUCUCUUCAAGGCCUAUGUAUUUCUUUUGAGCCAUAGAUCAACCUAAUAUAUUUGAUCUCUUUCUCUAUACAAGUGAACAUUAAAGGCUAAGAUCAACCUAACAAUUUUGAUCUAUCACUAAGUCCUUGUACAUAUAUUCCUAGAAGGACUUUACACAUAAUCAUGAGCAUUUAUAUUAAACAUCAAAUCACAAUAUGCAUUCUUCCAACAAUUUCCUUGUAGCAAGUAAAAUUGGGGAAGGAGGGUUUGGUACAGUAGACAAGGCAAUGCUAAAGGAUGGAUCUUUUGUUGCUGUAAAGCGCGUUAAAAAGGUAAUCAACUCGAGAGAGAGGAAUUAUGAUGUGGUUUGCUAUUUGUGUUAUAUUAUUGAUCAACAAGUUUUGUCAUUCAGCAAAAAUGAAAUAAGUUGUCCAGAGAUGGGCAUUAAGGCAAAAAUGAAACAAGUUGUCCAGAGAUAGGCAAAUUGGAGUGUAUUAACAAG
rnacentral:lncRNA from 1 species